UACGUAGGGGGCAAGCGUUGUUCGGAUUCAUUGGGCGUAAAGGGCGCGUAGGCGGCGGGGUAAGUCUGGUGUGAAAUCUCGGAGCUCAACUCCGAAAUUGCACUGGAUACUGCUCUGCUUGAGGGUUGGAGAGGAGAUCGGAAUUCACGGUGUAGCAGUGAAAUGCGUAGAUAUCGUGAGGAAGACCAGUGGCGAAGGCGGAUCUCUGGACAAAUCCUGACGCUGAGGCGCGAAGGCUAGGGGAGCAAACGGG
rnacentral:rRNA from 1 species